rnacentral:sRNA from 1 species
GCAAUAGAUAAAGACUACAAAGAAUAU